rnacentral:rRNA from 1 species
UAAGACGUAGGUGGCGAACGUUAUCCGGAAUUAUUGGGCGUAAAGGGUGCGUAGAUGGCUUGACAAGUUAGCAGUGGUAAAUCGAGGCUCAACCUCGUGGAAGCUGGUAAUACUGUCUGGCUUGAGUGCAGGAGAGGUUAACAGAACUCCAUGUGGAACGGUAAAAUGUGUAGAUAUAUGGAAGAAUAUCAAUAACGGCGAAGGCAGUUAACUAUUCUGCUACUGACAUUGAGGCACGAAAGCGUGGGGAGCAAAACGGAUUAGAUACCCGUGUAGUCCACGCCCUAAACGAUGAGUGCUAGAUAUUGGGAACUAGAUUCUCAGUGUCGUCAGGUAACCCAGUAAGCACUCCGCCUGGGUAGUACGGUCGCAAGGCUG